rnacentral:rRNA from 1 species
GACGAACGCUGGCGGCGUGCUUAACACAUGCAAGUCGAACGGAAAGGCCCUGCUUUUGUGGGGUGCUCGAGUGGCGAACGGGUGAGUAACACGUGAGUAACCUGCCCUUGACCUUGGGAUAACUUCAGGAAACUGGGGCUAAUACCGGAUAGGAGCUCCUGCUGCAUGGUGGGGGUUGGAAAGUUUCGGCGGUUGGGGAUGGACUCGCGGCUUAUCAGCUUGUUGGUGGGGUAGUGGCUUACCAAGGCUUUGACGGGUAGCCGGCCUGAGAGGGUGACCGGCCACAUUGGGACUGAGAUACGGCCCAGACUCCUACGGGAGGCAGCAGUGGGGAAUAUUGCACAAUGGGCGGAAGCCUGAUGCAGCAACGCCGCGUGCGGGAUGACGGCCUUCGGGUUGUAAACCGCUUUCGCCUGUGACGAGGCGUGAGUGACGGUAAUGGGUAAAGAAGCACCGGCUAACUACGUG